rnacentral:rRNA from 1 species
CCUACGGGAGGCAGCAGUGGGGAAUAUUGCGCAAUGGGCGAAAGCCUGACGCAGCGACGCCGCGUGAGGGAUGAAGGUCUUCGGAUCGUAAAACUCUGUCAGCAGGGAAGAACGGUCACUGUGCUAAUCAGCAGUGAAUUGACGGUACCUGCAAAGGAAGCACCGGCUAACUCCGUGCCAGCAGCCGCGGUAAUACGGAGGGUGCGAGCGUUCAUCGGAAUUAAUGGGCGUAAAGCGCUCGUAGGCGGUAUGUCAAGUCAAGGGUGAAAUCCCCGCGCUCAACGUGGGAACUGCCUUUGAAACUGGCAAACUGGAGUGUGUGAGAGGAUAGUGGAAUUCCAGGUGUAGGAGUGAAAUCCGUAGAUAUCUGGAGGAACAUCAGUGGCGAAGGCGACUAUCUGGCACAUAACUGACGCUGAGGAGCGAAAGCGUGGGUAGCAAACAGGAUUAGAUACCCUUGUAGGC